AUUGAACGCUGGCGGCAGGCCUAACACAUGCAAGUCGAGCGAGCGGCGGACGGGUGAGUAAUGUAUGGGGACUGCCCGAUAGAGGGGGAUAACUACUGGAAACGGUAGCUAAUACCGCAUACUAUCGGAUAACCCAUAUGGGAUUAGCUAGUAGGUGAGGUAAUGGCUCACCUAGGCGACGAUCCCUAGCUGGUCUGAGAGGAUGAUCCGGCACACUGGGACUGAGAAAAGGCCCAGACUCCUACGGAGGGAGCAGGGGGGAAUAAUUGACAAAUGGCGCAAGCCUGAUGCAGCCAUGCCGCGUGUAUGAAGAAGGCCCUAGGGUUGUAAAGUACUUUCAGUCGGGAGGCGUUACCGACAGAAGAAGCACCGGCUAACUCCGUGCCAGCAGCCGCGGUAAUAC
rnacentral:rRNA from 1 species